AUACAGAGGGUGCGAGCGUUAAUCGGAUUUACUGGGCGUAAAGCGCGCGUAGGUGGCUAAUUAAGUCAAAUGUGAAAUCCCCGAGCUUAACUUGGGAAUUGCAUUCGAUACUGGUUGGCUAGAGUAUGGGAGAGGAUGGUAGAAUUCCAGGUGUAGCGGUGAAAUGCGUAGAGAUCUGGAGGAAUACCGAUGGCGAAGGCAGCCAUCUGGCCUAAUACUGACACUGAGGUGCGAAAGCAUGGGGAGCAAACAGGAUUAGAUACCCUGGUAGUCCAUGCCGUAAACGAUGUCUACUAGCCGUUGGGGGAUUUGAUCCUUUAGUGGCGCAGCUAACGCGAUAGGUAGACCGCCUGGGGAGUACGGUCGCAAGACUAAAACUCAAAUGAAUUGACGGGG
rnacentral:rRNA from 1 species